rnacentral:rRNA from 1 species
AUGGAGGUCGCCGCGGCGAAGCCCAUCCUCCGCGUGGCCGCCGUCUGCGGCUCCCUCCGCAGGGCCUCCUACAACCGCGGCCUCCUCCGCGCCGCGGCGGAGGUGUGCGAGGAGUCCGUCCCGGGGAUGCGCGUGGAGCACGUCGACAUCUCCGCGCUGCCGCUGCUCAACACCGACCUCGAGACGCCCGACGGGGGCUUCCCGCCCGCCGUCGAGGCCUUCCGCGACCGCAUCGCCAGCGCCGACUGCUUCCUCUUCGGCUCGCCAGAGUACAACUACUCCAUCGCGACCCCUCUGAAGAAUGCACUUGACUGGGCUUCUAGGGGAAAUAAUUGCUGGGCAGACAAACCUGCUGCCAUUGUCAGUGCAGGAGGUGGCUUUGGAGGAGGUAGAUCGCAGUACCACCUCCGGCAAGUCGGGGUGUUCUUAGAUCUUCAUUUCAUCAACAAGCCAGAGCUGUUCGUCCAGGCAUUUCAGCAGCCACCCAAGUUUGACAACGAUGGAAAUCUGAUUGACGCCGAGAUCAGAGAGCGGAUUAAGAAAGUGCUCUUGUCCCUCCAGGCCUUCACACUCAGGGUCCAAAAGGACUGA